rnacentral:lncRNA from 1 species
UAUAGGUAGUGCUUGUAAAUAUACUCAGCAAGUGGAUGAGCACAACCCUGUCUUAUGAUGACACGAGGUUGUAUGUUAUUAGACAUCUUGUAUGAUAGUGGCAAAACACCCUUCCAAGUUAAAUUCACCUCACCCUCAACAUCUAUAGACCACCGUUCUAUUCCUUUGUUAUCCCCCGCUCGACCCAGCUACACCUUUAUUACCUGAAAGGAAUUGUGAAGCAAAAGGGUGAGCACAACUAGCUCAGUAAAGAAUAUCAUGACUAAAGAUAAAUAAAUUAUCAAUAGCCUUCAACAGUAAUAAAUCA